rnacentral:lncRNA from 1 species
CCCAGCGGACUUGCUAGAAUAGGUAGGUAGGCAGACCUGAGCAGGGCAGGAGAGCCCGUCCCAACAAAUGAGGAAUGUCAGGCAACCAUCAGGUAAUGGUCAAGUGAUUGCUAAAUUGUCUCAUUAAAAUAAUAAUUGGUCACAGCUGGCACCAGGGACAGGCGGUCUCCCCGUAGAUAGAAAACACUAAAGCUAGUGAUCAGCUGAUUCCUGAUCAGGAGAUGGGCAGGUGGGCUCAGGCAUGCGUACUAAGAAGCAAAAUGGCGGGGUUUGACUGCAUAUCACCUUCCUCCAGCAACGUUCAACUCGUAAGGGGAAAAUGCCUGAGGAUUGUUGUUUCUGGGAAAUGGCUGCUUGGCUGUGGACUGUGUCCCAGCUUUCUUCAUAUUGAAGUGUGUCUAACAAUAGAUUCUGAACAGAAAUAAUUUGUGACAUGUUUGAAUGAAGAGACUCAUGACAUGAAUGCCAAUCUUCUAUUUCUACAAAGAAAAUACAUUUAUGUCACAUAUUAUGCAUGAGAAAGGACUAUUUAAUGUCAUCCAUCUUCUGGACACCAAUGCGUAACAGCCAUACCUCUCGGUAAGUCUAUAAUCUUCAUAAUUCCAUUAUUUUUUUCUAAAAAAUUU